rnacentral:rRNA from 1 species
UACGGAAGGCAGCAGUGGGGAAUAUUGCACAAUGGGCGAAAGCCUGAUGCAGCUAUGCCGCGUGUAUGAAGAAGGCCUUAGGGUUGUAAAGUACUUUCAUCGGGGAGGAAAAAACAAAACUAAUAAUUUUAUUUCUUGACGUUACCCGAAAAAGAAGCACCGGCUAACUCCGUGCCAGCAGCCGCGGUAAUACGGAGGGUGCUAGCGUUAAUCAGAAUUACUGGGCGUAAAGAGCACGUAGGUGGUUUUUUUAAGUCAGAUGUGAAAUCCCUGGGCUUAACCUGGAACUGCAUUUUGAAACUGAAAUACUAGAGUAUCGUAGAGGGAGGUAGAAUUCUAGGUGUAGCGGUGAAAUGCGUAGAUAUCUGGAGGAAUACCUGUGGCGAAAGCGGCCUCCUAAACGAAUACUGACACUGAGGUGCGAAAGCGUUGGGGAGCAAACAGGGAUUAGAUACC